UACAGAGGGGGCAAGCGUUAUUCGGAAUUAUUGGGCGUAAAGGGCGCGUAGGCGGCUUGAUGUGUCAAAGGUGAAAUCCCUCGGCUCAACUGAGGAACUGCCUUUGAAACUGUCUGGCUUGAGGCCGGGAGAGGGUAGCGGAAUUCCCAGUGUAGCGGUGAAAUGCGUAGAUACUGGGAGGAACACCGGUGGCGAAGGCGGCUACCUGGACCGGUUCUGGCGCUGAUGCGCGAAAGCGUGGGUAGCAAACAGG
rnacentral:rRNA from 1 species